GUGCUGGUAGGUUAGUUCUGUUCUCAGCUCUCAGCCUUCAUCAGAAGUGCUUCUUCUUGCAGUGGGCAAUGGUUAAGGCAGACACACAGCUGCUCAGAGUGCCGAGGAUAAGCAUAGAAGAAAACCUUUCCUGCUCACCUAGAUGUCAUCCAGCCAACCCUUGUGAUAUCUCUUCCCAACCUUUGCCAGGCUUGUUCCCACCACGGACACUGUUGGUUCCAGCCUCCAUUGCUCCAUCCUUUGUUAAAUACUUUGCUAGAACCAGCCAGGGUCUUCAAGGCUGCAGUUAUCUUCCCUGAGGGCUGCCUGACUUCACCCUGCCUACCCGCCUUGCCUCUAAAGCUGUCCCAUCCGGUGUGCAGGAUCUUCUUGUCCUCAGUUAUGAAACAAGCAUCCUGAAAACGUUAUUUUAAGGAAGGGGAAAAUGGCAUCCACAUUGGCAGAGACACCGGUGACAUCAUCAGUGCCUACGGAGUUUGCAGGAGGGCACCGCUGCUUAGAAGAUCAUCUUGAGCGUAAGAGGGCAAAAUUCUUUUCGGAAAAGGCAGUUGUGAGGGACUCAAGGUCUAGAGGGCUGGUACUGAGUCAAAACAUUUGCCAGGCUGUUGUUGGUUUUUGUUUUUUAACUUGUGUUUCUAUUUGUUUUUUGCUGUUGUUUUGGGCUUUUUGUUCGUUUUGUUUUGGCUUUUCAUUGUGUGUGUCCUUUUAAUGAGGCUAAAUAUAAGCCAUGAAGCACAAGCGCGCGUGCGUGCGUGCGCGCGCGCACACACACACACACACACACACACACACACACACACACACACCAACAAAACCGCACUCUCUUAAGUCAACAUGAGCAUGUGAGUAAGGAUGAAGUAUAAAUUCUAAAUGGGGAAACAUCAGUAGUGCCUUUCUCAACAAUCAUGUUCGACUUUGUCAGUACAGAAAGGAGGCGUCUUACCCACCAACUCAGCCGAAAUAUGUCCUGCCCAGAGUGCAUCAUUUGGCUGGAGCUUAAUAAAAAACUUCUGGAACUGGCUGAGACUUUCUGGUGAAUGCGUAACCCAGUUUGAGAAGUGGUAUGCUUCAAUCCUGAGGUCAAACUCUAGACCCUGAAUCCCAACUGAGCCAGUGUCAAGACUUUGAAGAAUCAUUCGUAUGUGUUUGUACCGUCGUCGUCAGCUAGCACACUUUGGUGAGUAGAUGAGAGACUCUCUGUCUCAUUAGGUACCUGCUGUGAGAAAAGAAAACACUGCAAGUCCAAGGAAGGGAGCUAGGAUGCUACAGUUUGAAUCUUGAAGGCUCUGAGGCAUCUAUCUCUAUGUCAAAGGCUUGGGUCCUAGUGUGAUGUACAGAGAGAAUGUGGAAUCUUAGGUGGUAAGGGGAAGGCUUUAGGACUUUGGGAUAGCACCUUUGAAGAGACUGUGUAGUCCGUGUAUCUUUCUCGUCUCCGAACCCAGUCAGGAGACAAACAGCAUUGCUUCACCAUGUGUCCACUAUUGCAAAGGAGGUUCCCGAGUAACAGGGCCAGUGGGAUCAUGGACUAGAACUCCCACACCAUGCCAAACUAAAUCUUUUGUCUCGACACCUCAAUUCUCUCAGCUGACUAACACCUACUCUCGCAGUUCACAGGAGAGCAUAUCGAACUCAUUGAGCCUGGCCUAGUUGCAGCAUAGAUUUCAUUGCUGUUCCUACUACGUGGGAUCAUAUUAAAAUUGCCAGGCGGACAAUGUGAAAUACUAACAAGAGCCAAUGGUCAUAGGAUCCAAUGCUAUCAGUAGAUGGAGAUGAGCACUGCUAAGCCCACCAGCCAUACUAUCAUUAGCUUAUUCUUUCUAGAAGAUAUGUUGAAAAUGGACAUAUUUAUGUUCAGGAUCCAUGCUCAUGCGUUAGAAAUCCCAAGGAAAAAAAUUUGCAAAACUCAGUAUACAAAACAGAAUGCCCACACCCAAACCAUGAAUUAAAUCGUGUUUAGUAAAUCUUACUGAGAGAACAGCAGAAGUUUUCAAACAUUAGGACUGGAGUUCACAUAAGGAACAUAUAGUAUCGCGAUUCGGCACACACCCAGAUGCUCAACUGCGUACAAUCUUUAUAAAAAUUCUAAUCUCUACUGUGGGUAGUGAUUUUUGCCUCUGUACAAUAUUGUACUUUUCCAUUCUGCUUUUCAAAAAUAUAGAUCUUUACCCACUAAAAUAUUUAACUCUCUACGGACUCUAACCUACAAUUUGAAAAAUAAUUCUCCCAUGUAUGGUGUUUAUAAAAAAUUUUCUUAUAGUUCAUGUUCACUGGCAUGGAGAGAUAUGCUAUACUGACAAAUGUAAAAGUCUAUCACAACAUACAAUGAGAAAUAUUCUCCUGAGUUGGCUGUGUGUCAGCGUGAUCUCAACCAAAAAUAAUAUACAACACACCAGUGGUCUUCAGAACAACUCCAUGACUUUCUUGUCAUCUGAGAAUAUGUCAGCACUUCGUUCUCUAAAAUGUGGUAUGGGUGGACCUUUUGCAAAGCACUUUAUACUGUAACCAGGAUCUGUACAGAACACCUCCGCCCUGGCCCUCCAUGACCACCCUGUUCUCCAUGGUACAGCAUCCUGCUCUAUGAUCCACUGAGGCUAAUGCUGAGUGUACUCUUGGCAGUGAGCUCCCAGGGCAGCUUGGUUCCAUGCCAGUUCCCUUUGCACAUUCCAACCAUCUUGAACUUCAAAGAAAAGAAGGAUGCCUGGAGGGUCGAGAAACAGUGGGGAGCAGGAGACCAGGUGACACCGCCCCCCAAAACGAAAACCCAGAGCCAUGUCUUCACAGAAUACUGAUAGAUCUGCAGAAUGAGGAGCUUGUGUCUGCUUGGCAUGGUCACUCGGCUGCUCCAUCAGAACUCAUCCAAAGGGGUGGUUCUUUUACAAAUGUCGUGGCCGAAACAGAUGACAGAAAACUAACCAAACAAACCCAAAACCAACUCUGGGACAGCUCAACUUCUUCCAGGAAGGUUCCAUUCCACAGCUCCUGGGCUCCAGUGUGGAGCAGGGCUCUUUGGACCUUCUUGGCCCUUACUAGCUCUCAACACUUAUUUUUCUUGGCAUGGGCUGAUGUUCUCAGAGUGUUUCUUAGAAGGGGGUAUUGUACCUUUUGGGCUACUUUAUUGGGUUCUGUUAUUUACCAUCCUUUCCCACUGUUAUUCCACCCCAAUCCCUUCCAACUUCCCAACAUUAGAUAGGAGAGAAAGGUUAGAUCAGAUCUUCCCAAGACUUACAAGAUAGUUAACAGUAAUAUGACAAUUGUUAGUAGUAAUUAAAUAAUGAUAGGUAUCGAUAUGUUAUUAUCAUUAGUUCUUAUGGCCUGGAGACCUGAUCCAGACUCACAUGGAUAGAUCUGGCAGAACCAGGAUUCAAACCGGAUCCAUGUAGAGCCUGGGUCUGGGCCCCAGGCCUUAAAGCUGGGCCAAAAAAGGAGGGUAGGAGAUGAGAGAUCAUCCUCCAACCCCACCCCUAUCCAUACAGUCACAGCCAAUCAAUAUGGGCUUACAUUUUAUGAGACAAGGAGUUAACUUGUUCAAUUACAGGGGAGACAGCUCUAUUCUUUUGUAACAAGUAAUCUGAGUAGGGAAAUCGAUCCUGAGAGGUCCCAUGCACGCUGGCUAAUUUUAUAUUAUCCUUAGCCAAUGGGUGGGCACCGAGUAAUGGAGUUGUUGUUACAGUUCAUUAUGGAGGGCGGGGAUCAAUAAUGGGACAAUCUGUGGCUCAGCAUCCCAGCUGUGGUAGUGACAGGCGAUGGGGCUCCACGAAUGGGGAGCAUUGUGUUCUGGCGUGCUCCCUGCUCAAACACAGCCACCCCCUCCACAGUUCCCUAGACAGAACCCUCAAGGGUCUUGCCACGGCCCAAGCUCCUUGUCCUCAACACACAGAGGCACAGGAGACUGAAACAGAGAACAAAGCCUCUGGUCGCACAAGGCCAGACGUGUGAGCACCACCCUCUCCCUGGCCGCCUUUGGACAGAGUGCAGGUUUGGUCUGGCAGGGAGUCCUCAUUGGCAUCUCGGUAACCUCCGUCACUAAUUCCUGUUUUCCUUCUUAGACAUGGGCUGAGUGACAGACAGGCAUCUCUAUGCUCUCUGUAUUCAGGGCUGAGAGAUGCUGUCCCAGCAAUCCCUGUGCCUGGCUGGGAUUUUGUCCCCUGGGGCGGUGGCCUCAGUUCCAGGCCCACUGCCCACAUUCCAGCUGUUCCAAUUUCCUCCCUGGUGACAGGAGCAAUUUGUACCAAUUCAGCAUUUUCUACCCCUAUCUCAUUUGUGCCCCUACAGCAUUUCGGAGGCCGCUCUUAUUAGUGUAUGGCUGCCCUAGGCUUCGCUUCUGCCUGUGUGAGCAGGUUUAUCACAGACUGUGCAAACAUCCAUGGGCAUUUUACAUGCACUGUCUUCUUCUGCCCUCGGGGUCGAUUCUGCUCUUAUUAUAGUUUCCAUGUGGGGAAAUUGAGGCUCAGAAGGAAAACACUGUGCCCUGGACACAUAGGCAAUGAAGAUGGGGUUUGAAGUUGCCUUUCCCUGUGCCUCUCUAGCACUGAGGGUGCUCCUGGAGGGAGGCCUCUCCGUGGUAAGAUUCUGUGCUCUCUUGACUAUACUGGUGCCUGCCACUUGGGGCACACUGGCAUACUCGGGACACGUAUUUUUAGUAAAUCACCUCACUCUGCACAGGUGCUCAUGAAGCAAUCCUAGCGUCACCCCACCGUGUGACUUGGAAGUGUCGACAAUGUCUCUUAGGGAGGAGCUGAUCCACAGGAAGCGGAAGUGUGGCAGGCAGCCUUCCGCACCUGGGACUGCACGAGGCAGAAAAGCACAGGUGCUGAUGGACACCCAUGGCCUCUGUGUUAAAGGCUGACUGUGCCAGAAACUGAGCAAUUAUCUGUUGAGCAUAUGUAAAUGUGUUUAUAUGUAUUCUGCAUGCCUUAUGCAUAUUAAUUAACUCUCGACAGCAAACUUUGGGGGUGUGCAUAAUCGUUGUGCUACCGUACAGAUGAGGAAACAGAUGCUCUGGAAGGUUGAUGAUCUUGCUGGAUUUGAAGCUCUGUCCCACUGGUUCCCAAUGUUAUUUUUCACAAAGCUACUCUGGAUAAGAAGAGGUCAGAAUUCACCUACAUUCCGCUUUCUGGGUAAAAGUCUCAUUGGCGAGGGCAGUAGCUUAAGGGGGAAGGUGAACCUGGGCACAGCUGUCCCCUGUUGGAAAUGAGAGGACACUGGGCAGGUACCCGGUCCCCAUGAGAGUCUCGGAUACAGUGGGAUUACAGUGGUGUAUGAUACAGGUAGGUGAGACAGGCCACUAAGGCACCAAUGGGGUUCUAUUGUGAAGAGACACCAUGGCCAAGGCAACUUAUAAAAGAACACAUUUAAUUGAGUGCUUGCUUACAGUUUCAGAGGGUUAGUCCAUGAUCAUCAUGGAAGAAAAUAUGAAAGCAGGCAGUCAGGCAGAGCACUGUAGCUAUAGUUGAGGGGUCUCAUCUUAUCUGGAAGAUGAGGGCAGAGAG
rnacentral:sRNA from 1 species